UGAUGAGAUGUUUGCUGACUACAAUCAAGAGCUAUAUCCUGGAUGCGAUAAAUUCACGAAGUUGUCCUUUAUACUGAAGUUAUACCAUAUAAAAUGUAUGUGUGGCAUUAGUGACAAGGGGAUAUCCAUGGUGCUUGAUUUGAUGAAAGAAGCAUUUUCACAUGCCAAAUUGCCAGAUUCAUUUAAUGACAUGAAAAAGGUUAUUCGCAAAUUAGGAAUGACUUAUGAGUCAAUUCAUGCAUGUCCAAACGAUUGUAUGUUAUAUUGGAAAGCUGAUGCAGAAAGGGAAGUUUGUAAAGUCUGUGAGGCCUCUCGUUGGAAAGAUACAAAGAGCACAGAAGUAUCUGGAUCAGGAAAAAAGAAGAAGAGAUCUCCUGCAAAAAUUUUGCGUUACUUUCCCCUGAAGCCACGGUUACAGCGUUUAUUUAUGUCAUCAAAAACUGCUGCCCACAUGAGAUGGCAUGGAUCUGCUGCUAACAAUGAUGGUAAACUACGACAUCCAAGAGACGGAAGGGCUUGGAAGGAGUUUGAUAAGAAAUAUCCUGACUUUGCAUCUGAUCCAAGAAAUGUCAGACUAGGGUUGGCGACUGAUGGUUUUAACCCAUUUGGUACAAUGAGUAGUAGUUAUAGCAUCUGGCCAGUGAUAUUAUUUCCUUAUAACUUUCCACCGUGGAUGUCAAUGAAGCAGACGUCAAUGAUUCUCUCGAUGGUUAUCCCCGGAAAACACAUGCCUGGUAAUGAUAUUGAUGUUUACUUGCAGCCACUUAUCAAAGAUCUGAGAGCUAUGGUCUGAUGGUAUUAAAACGCUAGAUGCUUCCACAAAACAAACAUUUGACAUGCGAGCAGCCAUCAUGUGGACAGUAAGCGAUUUUCCGGGUUUAGGAAAUUUGUCGGGUUUGAAUACGUAUACAGCAUCAGCUUGCCCAACCUGUAACUUUGAUGGAAUCGGACAACGUUUACGACAUGGAAAAAAAAAUUGUUUUAUUGGUCAUCGUCGUUUUCUUCCUCUAGAUCAUGGCUUUCGGCAGAAUCGAGCAGAUUUUGAUGGAAAAUUAGAAACCAGAUCUCCACCAGCCAAAUUGACAGGUUCCACAAUUAUUCAUCAAUUAGAGCAAGUUAAUGUUACUCUUGGUAAAAAAGAUAAGUCUGUGGUAGGUGGAAGAAAGAGAGACAGAAGUGAUGCCGGAGGAUCUAGUACUCAGCAGUGGAAGAAAAAAAGCAUAUUUUUUGAGCUGCCUUAUUGGGAAUUUACAAUGUUGCGACAUAACUUGGAUGUCAUGCAUAUAGAGAAGAAUGUGUUUGAUAAUUUAGUCUACACAUUGUUGGAUGACAAAACAAAAUCGAAAGAUAAUCUGAAUGCCAGAAAAGAUCUUCGUGAGCUAAAUAUACGUUCUGACUUGUGGCCUGAUGAUAAUGAAAAAUAUCAAGCUGCAUGUUUUUCUCUUAACAAUCAUGGGAAAGACAUUUUCUUAAGUGUCUUAAAGAAUGUUAAACUGCCAGAUGGUUAUGCUUCUAACUUGUCAAGUUGUGUUGAUGUUAACAGUCGAAAGCUAUCAGGUUUAAAAAGCCACGACUGUCACGUGAUAAUGAGAGAUUUAUUAUCAGUCGCAAUUCGGAAUCUGCUCCCUACAGAUGUGUCAUCAGCCAUUGUCGAGCUUUGCCAAUUUUUUAGAGAUAUAUCUGCAAAAGUUCUUGAUAUAGAUGAGCUUGAUAAAUUACAAGAUGUUUUUAUAUAAACUGGCCACCUCUAAUAAAAUUGUUCUAAUUAGGGUUCCUAAAUACUAAAUCCACGUUCUCUAGGGAAAACUUCCCGCAACCUAUCUCUGCGAGUUAACAUCGGUGAAUUUCAUUGGGUAAAGGUGAUGUAUCUCUCUAAUUCUAUUUUUUUGGUAUUGUAUUGUAUUCUUCACUUUAAAUAAUGAGAAGGAGAUCGUUGAUUCAUAGAUUUGUUGAUUUCAAUUAUUUUAGAUCAUGGAUUACAUGGACUCAGAAACACAAGAACCAGAUGAUUUACCAUAUCUGGAAACAGAGUACGACAUGCCUCCUCCACUUGCUGCCGAAUACAAAAGUUUCAAAUGGAAAAUAGAAGUUAUAGGUCAACUAAGCAAUGAUGUGAAUUUGCUACCCAUUAACUACAGUGACUGGAGAAUGGUUAAUCCUCACAUAAAAAAUAAAGUCUGGGAAGUAAUACAGUCCAAAUUCUGGUUUGAUGAUCCAGCGACGAGAAAAGUGUUUGUGAUGAGUGCAUUAGGUAGCAGAUGCAAAGAUGUCAAACUACGUCUUUGGAAAGAAUACAAGCGAGACAGUCUAAGUGAGACAUUGCUCAAUCGACCAGAAAAUGUUCAUGAAAAUCAAUGGGGUCAUUUCGUUCACAUGAGAUUCAAAAUCGACCAGAAAAUGUUCCUGAAAAUCAAUGUGGUUUAGGAAAAACUUACGACGUUGUUGGGCCAAAAGUCACAUGUGACAAACAAUGCUAUUGCUAGUUUGGAUGAUGAAUAUGCACAAGUUUUUGGUCCAGAGCGUCCAGGACGAGUACGGUGUGUUGGUCGUGGACCUACACCUUCAAAAUUAGUGAACCAUUCACCUGUUACGAGACAAGAGAUAGAGAAUUCAGAAAUGGUUAUUGACCUGAAGUCACAAGUGAAAGAAUUAUCAGAUCAAGUCAAGGGAAUGACUACAUUCAUCCAACAAGUAAUUGGUACUUCAACUGGUGAACAGGCAAGAGUAUGGGCUUCAAGUUUUGCUGUAGCUUUUGCUAACAUACCAAACCCAGCUUUUGCCAACGUACCAUCUCCACCAAAUCCAAAUCAGGAACGGAGUGAUGAUGCUGUUAGAGACUAAGACUCAGACGUUGGAAGCAAUGGCAGUGAUCUUCAUCAACAUUAGUUUAAUAAUAUUUUCAGUAACUUUCAGUUUAUUUUAUUUUUAUGAAUUUGCAUGAUGGAUUAGUUGAUUUGAUUUCUAAUACUUUAUUUAUUAUCUAAAUCAGGUUUUAUUCAUUUAAUUAAUUUUCCUGCAUUUUUAUAUAUAUUUUAAAUCAUAAAAAUGUAAAUAAAAAUAAUAUUUGUAUCAUUUAUAUAUAAGUGAAAUAUAUUAAAAUCAUUUAUGAAAACUGAUAUAGAUUUAGCAUCAAUUAUAUACAAAUGAUGAUAGAAAUUUAAAUCACUAAAUUGUAAAUGAUACAAUUAUAAAAAUCACUUCUUAAAAUUGAUAUAAAUUUAACAUCAAUACGUAAAAUGAUAAUAAUACUUUAAAUCACUUGCUUUAAAUGAUAUAAUUAUUAAAAUCACUUUAAAAAAAUGAUUUAAGGUUAACAUCAAUUGUUUAAAAUGAUAUAUUAUUUAAAAUCGCUUGUUAUAAAUGAUACAAUUACUAAUAUCAUUUCUAAGAAUUGAUGUUACAGUUACAUCAGUUUAUAAUAAAUGAUUUAACAAUUCAAAUCAGUUUUUCUAAUUGACACUAAUACUAAAAUCAUUUCGCAUAACUGAUCUUAAAGUUAACAUCAUUUUCUU